GCUUGAGGUAGCUCGGUUGGUAGAGCGCAGGUCCAAAAGACCUGAUGUUGGCAGUUCGGUUCUGCCCCUUAAGCG
rnacentral:tRNA from 1 species